AUAAAGGGAAAUGAGUUUGAACU
rnacentral:piRNA from 1 species